GGGCCCGCACAAGCGGUGGAGUAUGUGGUUUAAUUCGAUGCAACGCGAAGAACCUUACCAGGGUUUGACAUCCUGCGAAUCUCUUGGAAACGAGAGAGUGCCUUCGGGAACGCAGUGACAGGUGGUGCAUGGCUGUCGUCAGCUCGUGUCGUGAGAUGUUGGGUUAAGUCCCGCAACGAGCGCAACCCACGUCUUUAGUUGCCAGCAUUUAGUUGGGCACUCUAGAGAGACUGCCGGUGAUAAACCCGGAGGAAGGUGUGGAUGACGUCAAGUCAUCAUGCCCCCUUACAUCCUGGGCUACACACGUACUACAAUGCUACGGACAAAGGGCUGCAAGUUCGCGAGGACAAG
rnacentral:rRNA from 1 species